rnacentral:rRNA from 1 species
CCUACGGGAGGCAGCAGUGAGGAAUAUUGGUCAAUGGACGCAAGUCUGAACCAGCCAUGCCGCGUGCAGGAAGACGGCCCUAUGAGUUGUAAACUGCUUUUGUACGAGGGUAAACGCAGAUACGCGUAUCAGUCUGAAAGUAUCGUACGAAUAAGGAUCGGCUAACUCCGUGCCAGCAGCCGCGGUAAUACGGAGGAUUCAAGCGUUAUCCGUAUUUAGUGGGUUUAAAGGGUGCGUCGGCGGUCGGAUAAGUUAGAGGUGAAAUCCCGAGGCUCAACAUCGGAAUUGCCUCUGAUACUGUUCGGCUAGAGAGCAGUAGCGGUAGGCGGAAUGUAUGGUGUAGCGGUGAAAUGCUUAGAGAUCAUACAGAACACCGAUAGCGAAGGCAGCUUACCAGGCUACUUCUGACGUUGAGGCACGAAAGCGUGGGGAGCAAACAGGAUUAGAUACCCGGGUAGUC